CAGCAGCCGCGGUAAAACGGAGGGGGCUAGCGUUGUUCGGAAUUACUGGGCGUAAAGCGCACGUAGGCGGCUUGGUAAGUUAGAGGUGAAAGCCCGGAGCUCAACUCCGGAAUUGCCUUUAAGACUGCCGAGCUAGUAGGUGAGAGAGGUAAGUGGAAUUCCGAGUGUAGAGGUGAAAUUCGUAGAUAUUCGGAAGAACACCAGUGGCGAAGGCGGCUUACUGGCUCAUUCUAGACGCUGAGGUGCGAAAGCGUGGGGAGCAAACAGGAUUAGAUACCCCCGUAGUCCCUGUCUCUUAUAC
rnacentral:rRNA from 1 species